rnacentral:rRNA from 1 species
GUUGGCGGCAGGCCUUAAACAUGCAAGUCGAACGGUAACAGCGGAGCUUGCUCCGGCUGACGAGUGGCGGACGGGUGAGUAACGCGUAGGAAUCUACCCAGUAGCGGGGGAUAGCCCGGGGAAACCCGGAUUAAUACCGCAUACGCCCUACGGGGGAAAGGGGGCCUCUUCUUGAAAGCUCUCACUAUUGGAGGAGCCUGCGUUGGAUUAGCUAGUUGGUGGGGUAAAAGCCUACCAAGGCGACGAUCCAUAGCUGGUCUGAGAGGACGAUCAGCCACACUGGAACUGAGACACGGUCCAGACUCCUACGGGAGGCAGCAGUUAGGAAUAUUGUGCAAUGGGGGAAACCCUGACACAGCCAUGCCGCGUGUGUGAAGAAGGCCCUAGGGUUGUAAAGCACUUUCAGUAGGGAGGAAUUAGCAAGGUUAAUACCCUUGUGAAAUGACGUUACCUACAGAAGAAGAUCCGGCUAACUCCGUGCCAGCAGCCGCGGUAAUACGGAGGGAUCGAACGUUAAUCGGAAUUACUGGGCGUAAAGCGCGCGUAGGUGGUUUGUUAAGUGGGAUGUGAAAGCCCCGGGCUUAACCUGG